rnacentral:rRNA from 1 species
AGAGUUUGAUCCUGGCUCAGAAUCAACGCUGGCGGCGUGCCUAACACAUGCAAGUCGAACGAGAAAGUGGAGCAAUCCAUGAGUAAAGUGGCGCACGGGUGAGUAACACGUGACUAACCUACCCUUGAGUGGGGGAUAACCUAGGGAAACCUGGGCUAAUACCGCAUAAUACCUACGGGUCAAAGGAGCAAUUCGCUUAAGGAGGGGGUCGCGGCCGAUUAGUUAGUUGGCGGGGUAAUGGCCCACCAAGACAGUGAUCGGUAUCCGGCCUGAGAGGGCGCACGGACACACUGGAACUGAAACACGGUCCAGACUCCUACGGGAGGCAGCAGUGGGGAAUUUUGCGCAAUGGGGGAAACCCUGACGCAGCAACGCCGCGUGGAGGAUGAAGUCUCUUGGGACGUAAACUCCUUUCGAUCGGGACGAUAAUGACGGUACCGAGAGAAAAAGCCCCGGCUAACUUCGUGCCAGCAGCCGCGGUAAUACGAGGGGGGCGAGCGUUGUUCGGAAUUAUUGGGCGUAAAGGGUGCGUAGGCGGUUCGGUAAGUCUUGUGUGAAAUCUUCGGGCUCAACUCGAAGUCUGCACUAGAAACUGCCGGGCUUGAGUGUGGGAGAGGUGAGUGGAAUUUCCGGUGUAGCGGUGAAAUGCGUAGAUAUCGGAAGGAACACCUGUGGCGAAAGCGGCUCACUGGACCACAACUGACGCUGAGGCACGAAAGCUAGGGGAGCAAACAGGAUUAGAUACCCUAGUAGUCC